AAAAGGCACUGUUAACUCAGCAGGUUUUCCACCCGUGGUGUGUCCCCUGCAUGUGUUUUAGACAACAGUACUUUUACGCUUUGUCAGCUACAUCAAUGCUUCCUAUCGUCUUUACUUAACAACAUUCAGAUUUUACUCUUACACGCCAGAUAACAAGCACUGCAUGGAGGAUUUUGUGCAAAUGUUUACAGCUUAGCUUGUCGGCUACUUUGUCUUUCAACACUGUUCAGAGAGUCAGAAGUGUCUCAGGAUGAAGAGCAGAGUUACUGGAUACAUGGUAUUAAGUUGCCACAUAGCCCCGGCCCUCGGAUUUGAUCUGCCUCGAAAUCAACAAGACGACUGACCUGGAUUUUCUCAGCCGGGUACUGUCCCUUGGAUUUUGUGUGUUGCCGGACGAGCAGACAGACAGACACGGGCUUGCCGCUGUGUGGGCUGUCACCGGGUUUUCUCCCCCCAGCUGGUCUGUGGCAUGGAGCUUGGGUGUUGGAUCCGUUCUCUGUGGCUUUCGGGAAGUUUACACACACUCCAGAGUCAGAGGAAGAGUUCACAUCCCUUGGAAAUCUGCUGCACUGAUAUGGCCAUGACAGCCAGUCAUCUUCCUUCAACUGUCCCACCAGCUGGAAAGACAUCUGUAAAUUCAUAAUUAGCC